rnacentral:rRNA from 1 species
GACGAACGCUGGCGGCGUGCCUAAUACAUGCAAGUGGGACGCAAGGAAACACACUGUGCUUGCACACCGUGUUUUCUUGAGUCGCGAACGGGUGAGUAGCGCGUAGGUAACCUGCCUAUUAGCGGGGGAUAACUAUUGGAAACGAUAGCUAAUACCGCAUAAUAUUAAUUAUUGCAUGAUAAUUGAUUGAAAGAUGCAAGCGCAUCACUAGUAGAUGGACCUGCGUUGUAUUAGCUAGUUGGUAAGGUAAGAGCUUACCAAGGCGACGAUACAUAGCCGACCUGAGAGGGUGAUCGGCCACACUGGGACUGAGACACGGCCCAGACUCCUACGGGAGGCAGCAGUAGGGAAUCUUCGGCAAUGGACGAAAGUCUGACCGAGCAACGCCGCGUGAGUGAAGAAGGUUUUCGGAUCGUAAAGCUCUGUUGUAAGUCAAGAACGUGUGUGAGAGUGGAAAGUUCACACAGUGACGGUAGCUUACCAGAAAGGGACGGCUAACUACGUG